rnacentral:rRNA from 1 species
CCUACGGGAGGCAGCAGUGGGGAAUAUUGCACAAUGGGGGAAACCCUGAUGCAGCGACGCCGCGUGAGUGAAGAAGUAUUUCGGUACGUAAAGCUCUAUUAGCAGGGAAGAAAAUGACGGUACCUGACUAAGAAGCCCCGGCUAACUACGUGCCAGCAGCCGCGGUAAUACGUCGGGGGCAAGCGUUAGCCGGAUUUACUGGGUGUAAAGGGAGCGUAGGCGGCAGCGCAAGUCUGGAGUGAAAUCCCAUGGCUUAACCAUGGAACUGCUUUGGAAACUGUGCAGCUAGAGUGCAGGAGAGGCAGGCGGAAUUCCUAGUGUAGCGGUGAAAUGCGUAGAUAUUAGGAGGAACACCAGUGGCGAAGGCGGCUUACUGGACUGUAACUGACGUUGAGGCUCGAAAGCGUGGGGAGCAAACAGGAUUAGAUACCCCAGUAGUU